CAGUCGCCACGGUAAUACGUAGGGUGCGAGCGUUAAUCGGAAUUACUGGGCGUAAAGCGUGCGCAGGCGGUUCGUUAAGACAGAUGUGAAAUCCCCGGGCUUAACCUGGGAACUGCAUUUGUGACUGGCGAGCUAGAGUAUGGCAGAGGGGGGUAGAAUUCCACGUGUAGCAGUGAAAUGCGUAGAGAUGUGGAGGAAUACCGAUGGCGAAGGCAGCCCCCUGGGCCAAUACCGACGCUCAUGCACGAAAGCGUGGGGAGCAAACAGGAUUAGAUACCCCCGUAGUCCCUGUCUCUUAUAC
rnacentral:rRNA from 1 species